UUUUUUAUUGCUGAACCAGUGAUGGUGAACCUUCUCCCAAAUUCCAAUCUCCCGACUCCCGUUCUCUGGUUCUCAGCAGACUCGGAAGCUCGGUUCUCAGUGCUCCGAAGUCCUCUCCAAGCUCCACCGCAGCACGCCAGCACCGCUCCUCUUUCCUCGCCGUGCUCGGCUCUUCCGACUCCGACCUCCGACCUCCGAGGCUCUUCCAUCAUGGGCCUCUACAUGCUCGAUUGGUGGGAGCGCUACCUCUUCAACAUAUUAAUCCUUAUUUUGCUCUGGUUCAUCUGCUACAAUGGAUCUCGUUUCGCAACUGAGUUCUAUGAAAGGUAAAAUCUCUUUCCCUAAUUUUGUUUUCUA